rnacentral:rRNA from 1 species
AUUGAACGCUGGCGGCAGGCCUAACACAUGCAAGACGAGCGGGGUUUUCGGACCUAGCGGCGGACGGGUGAGUAAUGCGUAGGAAGCUGCCCGAUAGAGGGGGAUACCAGUUGGAAACGACUGUUAAUACCGCAUAAUGUCUACGGACCAAAGUGUGGGACCUUCGGGCCACAUGCUAUCGGAUGCGCCUACGUGGGAUUAGCUAGUUGGUGAGGUAAUGGCUCACCAAGGCGACGAUCUCUAGCUGGUUUGAGAGGAUGAUCAGCCACACUGGAACUGAGACACGGUCCAGACUCCUACGGGAGGCAGCAGUGGGGAAUAUUGGACAAUGGGCGCAAGCCUGAUCCAGCCAUGCCGCGUGUGUGAAGAAGGCCUUCGGGUUGUAAAGCACUUUCAGCGAGGAGGAAGGGUGGUGUGUUAAUAGCACAUCAUUUUGACGUUACUCGCAGAAGAAGCACCGGCUAACUCUGUGCCAGCCGCCGCGGUAAAAC